rnacentral:rRNA from 1 species
UACAGGGGGUGCAAACGUUGCUCGGAAUUAUUGGGCGUAAAGCGCGCGUAGGCGGCUACUUAAGUCGGAUGUGAAAGCCCUUGGCUCAACUGAGGAAGUGCACCCGAAACUGAGUGGCUAGAGUACGAAAGAGGGUCGCGGAAUUCCCGGUGUAGAGGUGAAAAUUCGUAGAUAUCGGGAGGAACACCGGUGGCGAAGGCGGCGACCUGGGUCGAUACUGACGCUGAUGCGCGAAAGCGUGGGAGCAAACAGG